UACAGAGGGUGCAAACGUUGCUCGGAAUCAUUGGGCGUAAAGCGUACGUAGGCGGGAUGGCAAGUCGGUCGUGAAAUCCUUCGGCUCAACCGAAGAACGUCGGCCGAUACUGCCGUUCUUGAGGGAUGCAGAGGAGAUUGGAAUUCCCGGUGUAGCGGUGAAAUGUGUAGAGAUCGGGAGGAACACCGGUGGCGAAGGCGGGUCUCUGGGCAAUUCCUGACGCUGAGGCGCGAAAGCGUGGGGAGCAAACAGG
rnacentral:rRNA from 1 species